GCUGGGCAUGGUGGCACGUGCCUGUAGUCCCAGCUACUCAGGAGGCUGAGGUGGGAGGAUCACUUGAGUCCGGGAGUUCUGGGCUGUAGUGCGCUAUGUCGAUCGGGUGUCUGCACUAAGUUCGGCAUCAAUAUGGUGACCUCCCGGGAGUGGGGGACCACCAGAUUGCCUAAGGAGUGGCGAAUCAGCCCAGGUCAGAAAUGGAGCAGGUCAAAACUCCCGUGCUGAUCAGUAGUGGGAUCACGCCUGUGAAUAGCCACUGCACUCCAGCCUGGGCAACAUAGUGAGACCCCAUCUCAA
ensembl:misc_RNA Metazoa_SRP Metazoan signal recognition particle RNA